GCGGGGACAACGCCCCCUCCCCCCUCCUGGUCCUCUCAGGCACUGCCAAGGGUAUGGUCAUUGACAAGGGUUGCCAUUGCUUUAUAGAACUUGAGGCACUGUGGACUUCAAACCGACAACCCUGAGAGCACACACAUUUGUCAACUACCUGCUCUUGCUUCUGAGGAAAUUCUGCAGGAAACAUCUUGACAAAUGGGAGCUGAAGGCUUCAUCUUGCAACUGGGCUCUGGUUUACUGAGCCAGGGCCACACUGCCACCCACCUUUAAAACUGACCAUGGUGCUGAAACCAGGGCUAAUUUUGCCAUAUAGGUGUGGAUGCAAUUUAAGAGGUAACAAUGCUAUUCUAAGGGAAGCUUUAUUAAUAAAUACCCAACUGUAGGAAGCAGAGACUAAGAAGUGUUAAAGCUUCAGAAGACAGUGAGUUAGAAGGAACCUGUACCACCUCUGAGUUUUCCAGAAGACAGAUGCAGCAGCAGCACCCCUGGCCUGAGAGGUUCAACAUUAAAAAGAUUUUUCUUUUUCCUUCUU